UAACACAGACUAAAAGCUCAUAGCAAUGAUGGUUCUGUAGGGAUUACUGAGGUCACAAGGACUAGGAGAGGGAGGGUAAGGACAAACCCUGUAACCCCCCUGAUGGGAUCAGUGGAUACCUUUAACAGACUACUGUUAGGACACAAUGCAUAUGUUGUGGGGUCGAAAGUAAGGACACACCCUGUAACCCCCUGAUGGGAUCAGUGGAUACCUUUAACAGACUACUGUUAGGACACAAUGCAUAUGUUGUGGGGUCGAAGGUAAGGACACACCCUGUAACCCCCUGAUGGGAUCAGUGGAUACCUUUAACAGACUACUGUUAGGACACAAUGCAUAUGUUGUGGGGUCGAAGGUAAGGACAAACCCUGUAACCCCCUGAUGGGAUCAGUGGAUACCUUUAACAGACUACUGUUAGGACACAAUGCAUAUGUUGUGGGGUCGAAGGUAAGGACAAACCCUGUAACCCCCUGAUGGGAUCAGUGGAUACCUUUAACAGACUACUGUUAGGACACAAUGCAUAUGUUGUGGUGUAGAAGGUAAGGACAAACCCUGUAACCCCCUGAUGGGAUCAGUGGAUACCUUUAACAGACUACUGUUAGGACACAAUGCAUAUGUUGUGGGGUCGAAGGUAAGGACAAACCCUGUAACCCCCUGAUGGGAUCAGUGGAUACCUUUAACAGAC